rfam:Haliaeetus albicilla contig107042, whole genome shotgun sequence.
GUGGGCUAUGGGGACAUGUAUCCCAUGACAAUCGGUGGCAAGAUUGUGGGCUCCUUGUGUGCCAUCGCG